CCUCGCGGCCAAUGCAGGAGAUCCUUGCAGUUCCCGUCUCUCCGCCUGGAGCUCGGGCAGGAAGAUGGCGGCGACCGCAGAGUUGAUGCUGCUGGAGAAGUCCCUAGGGCUGAGUAAAGGGAACAAAUACAGCGCUCAGGGCGAGCGCCAGAUUCCAGUUCUUCAAGCAAACAAUGGUCCAAGUCUAAUAGGAUUAACUACUAUAGCCGCUCAUCUAGUCAAGCAAGCCAACAAAGAGUAUUUGCUUGGGAGCACCGCAGAAGAAAAAGCAAUAGUUCAACAAUGGCUAGAAUACAGGGUAACUCGGGUAGACGGACAGGCCAGUAAAGAUGAUAUCCGCACUCUGUUGAAGGAUCUUAAUUCAUAUCUUGAAGAUAAAGUCUACCUUACAGGAUAUAACUUCACCUUGGCAGAUAUCCUAUUAUACUAUGGACUUCAUCGCUUUAUAGUUGACCUGACAUUUCAAGAAAAGGAGAAAUAUCUUAAUGUGUCUCGCUGGUUUUGUCACAUUCAGCAUUAUCCAGGCAUCAGGCAACAUCUGUCCAGUGUUGUCUUCAUCAAGAACAGACUAUAUACUAAUUUCCACUAGAAGAUAUCCAUGCUGUACAGAAGAGUGAUUAAAAAUAUUUUAAGUGGAAAGUGUAUUCUGGACCAGAGGACUAACUUCAACUUAUGGUGCAAGACAGCUAUGGGAGUUACAGAUACCAAGUUUGUGAUCAAGGCCCAGAAUCAAGCAAAAGAGGAAGGACAAAAAGAAUCUUCCAACUGAAUCAGUCCACUUGAAGAACCUUUCCUGGAAGCCCUAUUCAGCAUUAUCUAUUUACAUCUCUUUGGCCAUCCCACUGGGAGGGAGGACAAAAUCUGUGCUCUUUCAAUGAGGAAGAAGGAAAAAAGGGAGACUAGGUAAGGAAACAGGCACAGAUUGGUUAAGGAACUUGCACAAGGUCACACAACCAGUAUCAAGAGGCUGGGAUUCAGACAAGUGUCUGGCUUAAACUUAACUUGUAACCACUUUACCGGUGUGCCAGUAAAGCUCUGCUUAAUCAACUUGAGAAAUUAAUUUUUACCUAGAGAAAAGCUGCGCUAGGCAGUGGAUAAAUAAAUGUGUAGAUAACUUCAAGAAUAAAUGAGAUGGUUACACUAUGUAUACACUAAAACCCCCAACUUGAACUCUAAACAGAUAAAUUCUGUGAUACAUGAAUUAUAGCUCAAAUAAGCACUUAAAAAAAGGAGUCACAUACAUCAAUCUCACCAUAAAUUUGUUAUGAUGCUUUGGAUAAGUCACUGCUCAUGAAAUUGCUUUUAUGAAAUAGAGGUAAAGAUUACUGAGCUCAUUGAUUUGUAAUCACUGUAUAAAACUUACUGGCGUAGUGCCAAAUACACAGAACGUGAUCAGCGAAGGACAAACCACUGCAGAGGAUUGUAAAAUCAUAACCUGUGAGUUUAUAAAGUCAAAUUCUUGAACUAAUUCUUGCCUUUUCCCACCUGCUGUUCCUGCACCUGCACAACAUGAGCCCAUCUGAGAGAAGACAACUUGGCAGAGCAUUCUGUGAUUUUGGUAAAUCAAGAAUUCGUCUUAUUACCAGUUUGGUCCUCAUUUUUUCAAGCUGUGUACUUCUAAAAGAUCAGUGAGACUUUUGUAAAAGAAAGUGGGGCCAUCUUUGUUCAUGCUAUUCCUUCUGAAGAGUGAAUUCCCCUUCCAACCCAUUUUCUUUCUGCAAUUCCCAGAAGCACUGAUCAUUUAACAAUCCUUCAAAUACCUACUUAGCACCUACUGUGUAUCAGAAACUGUGCUGAGCCCCAGAGAUAACACAAUUACAUCCUUGCUCUUACAGUGUACAGUCCAGUGGUCUGUGAACUAAUUCCUGAAACUGUGUAAAACAUUCUUUGGGAGGCUGCCAGCCAUUCAGCACUCUUAGAAAGUAAAUAAAAGUAAUCAUAACCAUU